AGGCCUUCGCUGUCUGUCAGGGCUAUGACCCUCCCGAGGGCUUCAUCCCGGACCUGAGCAAACCCCUGCUGGACCAUUCUUACGACCCAGAUUUCAACCAGCUGGAUGGUCCCACCCGCAUCAUUGUGCCUUUUGUGACCUGUGGGGACCUGAGCUCCUAUGAUUCGGACCGCAGUUACCCACUGGACCUAGAGGGCAGCUCAGAGUACAAGUACACUCCACCCACACAGCCCCCCAUCUCACCACCAUACCAGGAGGCCUGCACGUUGAAGAAGAAGGGGCAGCUGGCCAAGGAGAUCCGCCCCCAGGACUGCCCCAUCAGCAGAGUGGACACGUUUUCCCAGCCCCUGGCCGCCCCUCAGUGCCACACCCUGCUGGCCCCUGAGAUGGAAGACAAUGAAAUGAGUUGUUCACCUUAACCCAUUAUGGUGUUGUUCUAGGUUUGGAGAUAGAGCAGGGAGCAAAACAGAAAUAUCUUGGCUCUCACAGUACUUCCAGUUUGGAAAAGAGGCAAGAAUCAAUAAAACAGUCUCUGGCAAGCUGAUACAACUCAGAAACUGCUCAAUGUCAGGAAAACCGGAACUUGUUAAUGAACUUGUUUUCAAAAUAUCAUCUCAUCAAUGAGGCCUGGACAAACAAGCCCUGAGGAGGGAUCUGCAACAACCCUGAAGAUAACAAGGAAAGAAACCAUGGAAGUCAGUCUGUACUGCAGUGGGAAUUCUUGAGUGAGGUCUUACCUCUUCUUUAAACCUCUUCAGGAGUGUCCUGAUUAUAUCCAGAA
rnacentral:sRNA from 1 species